rnacentral:tRNA from 1 species
AUUAAAUUGGUUUAGUGGAAAAAGUACUAGACUUAGAACCUGGAGAGAUGGGUUCAAAUCCCACUGUAAAUA